rnacentral:ribozyme from 14 species
UGUUUCUCCUACCGUUCCAUUGUUCUUGUUUUUCCUUUAUCUUGUUGUACCUUUCCAACAAAACGAACGAUCCGCUCCAAGAUCCCGAACAAAAAAAGAGAAAAAAUGGGGAAAUGCCAAGAGAGUUGUUGUCUCAUCCUCCUUUCCUUUUUUGAAA